GAUGAACGCUGGCGGCGUGCCUAAUACAUGCAAGUCGAGUGAACAGAUGAGGAGCUUGCUCCUCUGACGUUAGCGGCGGACGGGUGAGUAACACGUGGAUAACCUACCUAUAAGACUGGGAUAACUUCGGGAAACCGGAGCUAAUACCGGAUAAUAUAUUGAACCGCAUGGUUCAAUAGUGAAAGACGGUUUUGCUGUCACUUAUAGAUGGAUCCGCGCCGCAUUAGCUAGUUGGUAAGGUAACGGCUUACCAAGGCAACGAUGCGUAGCCGACCUGAGAGGGUGAUCGGCCACACUGGAACUGAGACACGGUCCAGACUCCUACGGGAGGCAGCAGUAGGGAAUCUUCCGCAAUGGGCGAAAGCCUGACGGAGCAACGCCGCGUGAGUGAUGAAGGUCUUCGGAUCGUAAAACUCUGUUAUUGGGGAAGAACAAAUGUGUAAGUAACUAUGCACGUCUUGACGGUACCUAAUCAGAAAGCCACGGCUAACUACGUG
rnacentral:rRNA from 1 species